rnacentral:rRNA from 1 species
UACGAAGGGGGCUAGCGUUGUUCGGAAUCACUGGGCGUAAAGCGCACGUAGGCGGAUUGUUAAGUCAGGGGUGAAAUCCUGGAGCUCAACUCCAGAACUGCCUUUGAUACUGGCGAUCUCGAGUCCGGGAGAGGUGAGUGGAACUGCGAGUGUAGAGGUGAAAUUCGUAGAUAUCUGGAGGAAUACCGGUGGCGAAGGCGGCAUCCUGGACCGGCAUUGACGCUGAGGAGCGAAAGCUAGGGGAGCAAACGGG